rnacentral:rRNA from 1 species
UACAGAGACUGCGAGCGUUAUUCGGAUUCACUGGGCGUAAAGGGUGCGCAGGUGGCUAGGUGUGUUAGGCGUGAAAGCCCGGGGCUUAACCCCGGAAUUGCACCUAAAACUACUUGGCUAGAGCAUUGGAGAGGGGAGCAGAAUUCAUGGUGUAGCAGUGAAAUGCGUAGAUAUCAUGAGGAAUACCAGAGGCGAAGGCGGCUCCCUGGACAAUUGCUGACACUCAGGCACGAAAGCGUGGGGAGCAAAAGGG